UACGGAGGGUGCAAACGUUGCUCGGAAUCAUUGGGCGUAAAGCGCACGUAGGCGGCCUAUCAAGUCGGGUGUGAAAGCCCUGGGCUCAACCCAGGAAGUGCACUCGAAACUGAAGGGCUUGAAUAUGGAAGAGGGUCGUGGAAUUCCCAGUGUAGAGGUGAAAUUCGUAGAUAUUGGGAAGAACACCGGUGGCGAAGGCGGCGACCUGGUCCGAGACUGACGCUGAGGCGCGAAAGCGUGGGGAGCAAACAGG
rnacentral:rRNA from 1 species